GCUUACGGCCAUACCACCCUGCACGCGCCCGAUCUCGUCCGAUCUCGGAAGCUAAGCAGGGUCGGGCCUGGUUAGUACUUGGAUGGGAGACCGCCUGGGAAUACCAGGUGCUGUAAGCC
rnacentral:rRNA from 15 species